GGCCACGCUUCUAGUUCUAGCAGCUGCAGGGGCUUCUGCUCAGUUGGAGGUGGUGCCACCUGCCUGGUGAAGGCAAGGCGCUAGGAGCUUCCUAGCAGCCGGAGCUCUGGGCAUGCUUCUGAGCUCUUCCUAGCAUUUCUCCAGGGGAGGCCGUGUCCCUCCUGGGCUCCUGGGCAGCGCUGUCACAUGAAGUAGGGGCUGAGAUCCUUGGUCGCAGCAGCCAUAGCGUGCUUGAGAGCGUCAUGCGGCGGAUGUAGAGGGCAGUGCAGACGUAGAACAUCUCCGUCACCGCAGAGGUCCCCGGGCACCACUGGCCUAAGGGCAGAAGUCGCCAUGACGACAUGAACUCCUUGAUUCCGGAAUGAGAGGACCAUGGAGAACUCGACCAAAGCCCAGUGACAAUCUCCUUGUGAGUCGUUGGUUCUACUGGGUCGUGUGCUCAUCUCUGAACCCAUAGAACAGAAAGGUCUGAUGGGCCUGGGUGCUCCCCCGGUAUCCGAGCGCUGAGCGAGAAAAAUGUAAGAAACAAAGUAAAUCAAGGGAGCGAGGGCUGCAGAGAGAGCUGAGCCGACUCUGGGCGUGCAGCAAGAGAUGUCUGCCGUGGCUAAUUCACUCGACACCCUGGGGCUGGCUCUGGGGUGCAGGAGAUCGCAGGCCUCGCCCUCACAGAGCUUACCUUCUAGCGGGAGGUCUGACUCUGUCCCCAUGGCCCUUUGCCUGCCCUCCCUCCUGGCCUGAGUCCAGCCCAGGGAGAAGAGUGAAAUUAACUGUCCCUCGUUAUUGUGACACUUCCUGGGAGCAACAAAGGGCUUUUCACAGCGAGAAAACGAAGCAAGUACAUGCGAGAUGACCUGGAAGUCACAGAAUUUAGUUGUUGAGGUGCCAGAUGGAAAAUACCCAACAGGUCAUGUUCAGAGUUUGGAGCUAAAAUAGGCAUGCUCUUAAAAAAAAAAAAAAUCCAUAUAUGGCUAGCAUUUCAGGUAUACCUUUUGGAGUGAAGGACACUGAGCUGGAUUCUCAGAAACUGAAAACCCAUAGAAGGUUCUGGAAAAGUCAGUAACAAAGGGAGCCACGUUCUCCUCCAGGUUUCAUCCUCGCUUGGGCUAGA